UACGAAGGGGGGCUAGCGUUGCUCGGAAUCACUGGGGCGUAAAGCGCACGUAGGCGGCUUUUCUAAGUCAGGGGUGAAAUCCUGGAGCUCAACUCCAGAACUGCCUUUGAUACUGGAGAGCUUGAGUCCGGAAGAGGUGAGUGGAACUCCGAGUGUAGAGGUGAAAUUCGUAGAUAUUCGGAAGAACACCAGUGGCGAAGGCGGCUCACUGGUCCGGUACUGACGCUGAGGUGCGAAAGCGUGGGGAGCAAACAGG
rnacentral:rRNA from 1 species